AAUGAACGUUGGCGGCGUGGAUUAGGCAUGCAAGUCGUGCGGGAAUCUCCCUUCGGGGAGAGGACAGCGGCGAAAGGGAGAGUAACGCGUGGUUACAUACCCUCGGGACCGGGAUAGUAGCGGGAAACUGCUAGUAAUACCGGAUAAUAUCUUUGGAUCAAAGGUGUGAUUCCGCCCGAGGAUUGGACCGCGUUCUAUUAGCUUGUUGGCGGGGUAAUGGCCCACCAAGGCGACGAUGGAUACCGGGUGUGGGAGCAUGGCCCGGCUCACUGGGACUGAGACACUGCCCAGACACCUACGGGUGGCUGCAGUCGAGAAUCUUCGGCAAUGGGGGCAACCCUGACCGAGCGACGCCGCGUGCGGGAUGAAGGCCCUCGGGUUGUAAACCGCUGUCAGUUGGGAGGAAGUGCCAGGGGGUUCUCCCCUUGGUUUGACCGAUCUUCAGAGGAAGGACGGGCUAAGUUCGUGCCAGCAGCCGCGGUAAUAC
rnacentral:rRNA from 1 species